rnacentral:rRNA from 1 species
UGGGGAAUAUUGGACAAUGGGCGAAAGCCUGAUGCAGCGACGCCGCGUGAGGGAUGACGGCCUUCGGGUUGUAAACCUCUUUCAGCAGGGACGAAGCGCAAGUGACGGUACCUGCAGAAGAAGCACCGGCUAACUACGUGCCAGCAGCCGCGGUAAUACGUAGGGUGCAAGCGUUGUCCGGAAUUACUGGGCGUAAAGAGUUCGUAGGCGGUUUGUCGCGUCGUUUGUGAAAACCAGCAGCUCAACUGCUGGCUUGCAGGCGAUACGGGCAGACUUGAGUACUGCAGGGGAGACUGGAAUUCCUGGUGUAGCGGUGAAAUGCGCAGAUAUCAGGAGGAACACCGGUGGCGAAGGCGGGUCUCUGGGCAGUAACUGACGCUGAGGAACGAAAGCGUGGGUAGCGAACAGGAUUAGAUACCCAGGUAGUCCCUGAGCGGGCUGGCAAGGCGCAU